rnacentral:lncRNA from 1 species
AGAUUUUAUGAGGCCACGUAGUGCGCGUUCGCUCACACGAUGACUAAUUGACUCACUGUGAAUGAAACACGCGUGUUCCUCAUGAGCCAAUUAAACAAAACCUGCAGGACAAAUAAACGCAAUUGAAAUAAAAUUGCCCUGUUUUUUUUUUUUUUAUGGAUGGUGGCUUGGUGCGUCUUUGGGGAACUGCCAAGGGAGGGAGACCCCACCGGUCAUUAAAUAACGUUUGGAUAUUAUCAAACAGCAUGUUUGCUGUGGUUGCUUCAAACGCAGAAGCAACCACGCAAACAAACGGCCUCUAAAGCGGUUCGUUGCUACUGUCGUGGGAGAGAGGUUGCUUGGAUGCUUGUUUAUGAAGUUGGAGAGGGCUGGGGAGAUUACGGGUCACGACUGGUUCGGUUUGAUUUUGGUGAUUUGGGGCUGAUUCUCGGUGGCUGUAUGGUGUUGGGUUGUAAAUGGGUCAGCUGGGUCUAGUGGUGAGUUCCAUUGCACUCAGGUCUAAGUUGAUGAUGGGAGAGAAGGAGGUGGUGGUCGUAUUGCUCAGGUCUGGUGUUGGGUCGAUCCCGGGUAGAAAGGAGGCUUAAUUACGGGCUGGUUCCUGGUAUUUUGAGGGUUUUUGAAGGUGAUGGCUACUGGGUUAAUAAAGGAUGAAGGCUUAAUUGGUUAUGGCUGCUGUUUUUUUUUUCCUUGAGAGACUCUCUGUCCCCAUGUUGUCCCUCUGGUUUGUUGUCUUAUCCCUCUGGUUUGUUGUCUCGAGAGGCUGGUUCUUGGUGGUUGUCUGUCUCGGGCUAGAGGAUCUGCUAACAGUGCGUUGCAACUGUGGGUACUAUUGUCAGCUAAUCUAUUGUAGGAUAUAAAUGACAUAAAGAUAAUACAUGUGCAGAUGGUAACUUUACAGUCAAGAGUUGAUUUUUUUUUUUGACAGAAUUGAAUUCAAUGGUGCAUGUUCGUUCCAAACAAGGGUCGGGAUAUCUAUAGCUAUACCAAAAAAUACCUACUUUUAUUUGGUUGGCGGUUCAAGGCAGAAUCUGUACCCGAAGGUCUACCAAUGUAGCUUUCGGUAUGUUUUUUAUGUUCAAUUGACUAUUCAUUGCUAAUUUGCAUGGAAUGUGAGGACCAAGUUCAUGACAUGAUGGGGGCGUCUCCUGUAGCUUUCCUAAAUUACUAGAUAACUUGUUAUUUGAAUGGCCUCACAUGGUUUUUGACAAAUUUCAGAAGACAUGGCAACUCCUAUCUUUUGCAUUCCUUCGAAUAUUUAGCUAGCUAAAAAUAAUUUAAUUUUUAAUGAGGUUCAACCUAACAUGAAAAGAUACGUUUUUUUAAAAUUUUGUUUCGUCUUUCUUUUUGGUAAUAGAUUAGCAAAAAGCAUUUCACUUAUACAGGUUAUAUUUUAAAGAUAAUAACUUCAGCAUGUUUUAGUGUACGUAUGAUCUAAUAUUAUUAAUAUUUCUAUAUUUUGUUUUUCUUUGUAUUGUUUCUUCUGUAAUAACUCUUUGUAUAAGUUGUUUAGUUAUUUUCUAUAGCAACUACUUUUCAAAUAUAAUUAUUGAUGAUUAAAAAAAAGAUUUAGUUGUGGUUUCACUGGAUGGAGACAGUAGUAAUCUUGUUAAUCCAUUGAUGUGUAUCAUUAAUUAGAUGACGAGGCCUCUUCUUCAUGAGGGCAGGCCAAUGCACGGGAGACAGCGGGUUGGACCCCUAAAACGAUAAUUUAAAUUGAUUUCUACCGUUAGAGCUGUUUGAGAUUGUGAUAGCGAUUGUUUAAAAUGAAUUUUGUUUAAAAAUAUAUUUUUAAAAAAUUAUUUUUAAACUUAAUAUAUAAAAAUGAUCUAAAAACAUAAAACAAAAAAUUUAAUAAAAAAAAUUUAAAAUUUAAAAGGUGCACUUAAUCUUUGUAUGGGUCAGGUGGUUUAUGAACAGCAACUUGAAAGUAUGUACGACAAGUUUACAAUGAACUAAGUAAUACCCUUUUUAUAUAAAAGUAAUUAGUAUGUUGUUUUCGGCUCCAUGAAAGAAAUGUUCAAUUUUUAUUUCUUUAUAUGACCCUUCAAGUACACGUUUAGAUCACUUUAACAAGAUAUUCAAGUGCACGUUUAGAUCACUUUAACAAGAUAUUCUUAUUCUGUAAGAGCACAAUUGAGACAUCAGGUAUUAAUUUAUAUAUAUAUUUUUGCAGUGGAGGGAGGGAUAUUGAGUAGUAUAAAUAUGAGAAGCCUUCACAACAAAAAAUUGCAUUCUCCAAAAGCUACAGGUAUACUGGUAAUUAUACAGUACGUAUAGAGUUGUCAUUAAUUCUAAAAUUAAUGGCAAUCAAGAAUCGUAAUGUUACUGUAGAUGGCGAACGUGCAAUGACCAUGGGGCAGUUCAGGGCUUGGAUGAAAACAAUCGAUGGUGAUAAAGAUGGCAAGAUAAGCAAGGAUGAACUCUCCGACGCCGUCCGUGGCAACGGAGGAUGGUUUGCUGGUUGGAAGGCCAAGAGGGGGGUAGGGUCAGCUGACUCCAAUGGCAAUGGCUUCGUCGAUGAGACUGAAAUCGGUAACCUAGUGGAGUUUGCUCAAAAGCACCUGGGUAUCAAAAUCAUUUAACCAUUUAAAAUUGCAUAUGCCUUUGUAUUAUUAUUAUUAUCGUGCCUGGCUGGUGUGUAAUAAGAAGAAAAAAUGAAUAUUAUUAUUAUCGUGCCUGCCUGCUGGUGUGUAAUAAGAAGAAAAAAUGAAGAAUUUAUAUCAUUACAAUCUGUUUUCAAACAAGUGAUAUCUUUGUGUAGUGCGCAAUGGACACUUCCUAGUCCAAGACUUGUUGUAUGUGUAAUUUGUGUAUCAAAAUAUUAAGUUUAAGAAAAAAUAUAAAUGUGUUGAACGAGUUUUACCGUAUAAUUUAUUAUUUAAUUGUUGGAUCAGUCUGAAAUUUAAUCUGUAUAUUCUGAAUGUCUAGUUUUAUAAAAUAUCAACUAACUAUUAGUAGCUCAAAUUAGAUUUAAAAGUUACUAUUUAAGAUUUUUUAUUAUUUUUCUAGUUAUAUUUGUAUUAUAGAUUUUAGAAUUUUAAUUGGUUAGAUAAGUUUAAAAUCUAUUUAAAUAUUAUAUAAUUUAUUUGCAAUCUUAAAACAACUUGAAAAUCUUAAUUCUAUCUUUUACCAUGAGUUCUUAUCACCUUAUAACUUUCUUAUUGUUUCCUUUCUGUACUGCUCCAGCUCUUCAACUAAAAGGUUUUUUUUGGGGUUAUCUAGAAAUUAUUUUUUAAAAUAUUUUUUAUUUAAAAAUAUAUUAAAAUAAUAUUUUUUUUUUAUUUUUAAAAAUUACUUUAUAUAUUAAUACUUCAAAAUAAUAUAAAAAUACCAAAAAUAUAUUAGUUUGAAAAAAAAAAUAAUUUUUUUUAAAAAUAUUUUUAAAACACAAAAAUAAAUAAACUCUUAUCUCCAGCUACCGCUGGUUAAAUCUACAACUAUAAUCAGUGGCAAGCCCUUACUUCGUGUCUCUUACUCCGUUACUAAUUUUUUCUUAGAUCUAUAUAUGUUCUAUCUUUUGGAUUUACUGUUUUUUUUUUUAAGUGGAGUUUCGCUGGCUUGUCAAAUGGAAGAACCGAACCUUUUUCUAGGAAUGAUAUAUUUUCUUCGACUCUUUUCGAGUCUUUACUUGAGGUGUGCUUCACCACAGCCACUAGAUUGCAUAGUCGAUUCUCAGCUUAAUUCGUAGUGCUUCUACCUUUCGAAUAGGUAGUUUUCACAUCCACGCUAUAGAUUCUGUGUGUUUUUAGGUAGUUUUUACAGUUAUGAUUUUUUUAAAAAUAAUUUUUUAAAAAAUAAGUUGUAAAAAUAAAUAUGACUAAUUGAAUUUAGAUGAGUUGAAGAUUUAUAUAUAGCAACAAACAUGUAUAAAAUAUUUGAUAAAAUAUUUGAUAAUUUAUUCUAUCUAUGUAUGUGCACAAUAUUUGUACUGUUCCCAUCAAUUUCUGUAAUCAUCUUCACAUGGAUUUUUGUUAAGACAGAUUUCACAACUAAAAGUAUAUGAUCAAAUCUAAAAUCAAAAUUAAAAAAAAGGCUGACCUGUUUUUGGUGUCCGGAGAUGGCAAGCGGCAGCAAAAGAGUAGAGGAAGUUGAUUAGGAUCAUUAAUCAUCGCUCAAACAAAGUUAAAUAAAACAGAAAUCACCUAAAAGACUGACCCGAUACGCUGUUUCCACACGGCUUCGGUGGUUCUCUGCAUCGAGUCCAGGGGCGAAGCAGAAGUAGUUUGCGGGGUCAAGAGUAGGAAAUUUUUUGUAGGAGAAUCAAAACUUAAAUUUAUUCAAAGGAAACUAACAAGAUGUACUGUGCUUUUGACAAACUAAAUCAUGGCUAAAACUAGUUUUGGCUCUAAAAUUUUAAAUUAUUCAAAGGAAACCCUACCUGCUAGGCUUCUGGGUGUGUGAGUUAAAAUAACUAACAAGAUGUACUGUGCUUAAGGAAGGGGGUUUUCUCUUAGGGC